rnacentral:rRNA from 1 species
GAUGAACGCUGGCGGCGUGCCUAAUACAUGCAAGUCGAACGCAGUUGCGAACGGGUGAGUAACGCUUAGGUAACUGCCUAAUAGCGGGGGAUAACUAUUGGCAACGUUAGCUAAUACCGCAUACUGUGAGAUGGACCUGCGUUGUCUUAGCUAGUUGGUGAGGUAAAGGCUCACCAAGGCGACGAUACAUAUCCGACCUGAGAGGGUGAACGGGCACACUGGGACUGUGACACGGGCCCGAAGCCUACGGGAGGGAGGCGUAGGGAAUUGUCGGCAAUGGAAGGAAGGCUGACCGGGCAACGGCGCGUGAGUGGAGAAGGUUUUCGGAUCGUAAAGCUCUGUUGUUAGAGAAGCGGUAUCUAACCAGAAAGCGACGGCUAACUACGUGCCAGCAGCCGCGGUAAUUC